rnacentral:rRNA from 1 species
AGCGUACACGGUGGAUGCCCUGGCAGUCAGAGGCGAUGAAGGACGUGCUAAUCUGCGAUAAGCGUCGGUAAGGUGAUAUGAACCGUUAUAACCGGCGAUUUCCGAAUGGGGAAACCCAGUGUGUUUCGACACACUAUCAUUAACUGAAUCCAUAGGUUAAUGAGGCGAACCGGGGGAACUGAAACAUCUAAGUACCCCGAGGAAAAGAAAUCAACCGAGAUUCCCCCAGUAGCGGCGAGCGAACGGGGAGCAGCCCAGAGCCUGAAUCAGUGUGUGUGUUAGUGGAAGCGUCUGGAAAGGCGCGCGAUACAGGGUGACAGCCCCGUACACAAAAAUGCACAUGCUGUGAGCUCGAUGAGUAGGGCGGGACACGUGGUAUCCUGUCUGAAUAUGGGGGGACCAUCCUCCAAGGCUAAAUACUCCUGACUGACCGAUAGUGAACCAGUACCGUGAGGGAAAGGCGAAAAGAACCCCGGCGAGGGGAGUGAAAAAGAACCUGAAACCGUGUACGUACAAGCAGUGGGAGCACGCUUAGGCGUGUGACUGCGUACCUUUUGUAUAAUGGGUCAGCGACUUAUAUUCUGUAGCAAGGUUAACCGAAUAGGGGAGCCGAAGGGAAACCGAGUCUUAACUGGGCGUUAAGUUGCAGGGUAUAGACCCGAAACCCGGUGAUCUAGCCAUGGGCAGGUUGAAGGUUGGGUAACACUAACUGGAGGACCGAACCGACUAAUGUUGAAAAAUUAGCGGAUGACUUGUGGCUGGGGGUGAAAGGCCAAUCAAACCGGGAGAUAGCUGGUUCUCCCCGAAAGCUAUUUAGGUAGCGCCUCGUGAAUUCAUCUCCGGGGGUAGAGCACUGUUUCGGCAAGGGGGUCAUCCCGACUUACCAACCCGAUGCAAACUGCGAAUACCGGAGAAUGUUAUCACGGGAGACACACGGCGGGUGCUAACGUCCGUCGUGAAGAGGGAAACAACCCAGACCGCCAGCUAAGGUCCCAAAGUCAUGGUUAAGUGGGAAACGAUGUGGGAAGGCCCAGACAGCCAGGAUGUUGGCUUAGAAGCAGCCAUCAUUUAAAGAAAGCGUAAUAGCUCACUGGUCGAGUCGGCCUGCGCGGAAGAUGUAACGGGGCUAAACCAUGCACCGAAGCUGCGGCAGCGACGCUUAUGCGUUGUUGGGUAGGGGAGCGUUCUGUAAGCCUGUGAAGGUGUACUGUGAGGUAUGCUGGAGGUAUCAGAAGUGCGAAUGCUGACAUAAGUAACGAUAAAGCGGGUGAAAAGCCCGCUCGCCGGAAGACCAAGGGUUCCUGUCCAACGUUAAUCGGGGCAGGGUGAGUCGACCCCUAAGGCGAGGCCGAAAGGCGUAGUCGAUGGGAAACAGGUUAAUAUUCCUGUACUUGGUGUUACUGCGAAGGGGGGACGGAGAAGGCUAUGUUGGCCGGGCGACGGUUGUCCCGGUUUAAGCGUGUAGGCUGGUUUUCCAGGCAAAUCCGGAAAAUCAAGGCUGAGGCGUGAUGACGAGGCACUACGGUGCUGAAGCAACAAAUGCCCUGCUUCCAGGAAAAGCCUCUAAGCAUCAGGUAACAUCAAAUCGUACCCCAAACCGACACAGGUGGUCAGGUAGAGAAUACCAAGGCGCUUGAGAGAACUCGGGUGAAGGAACUAGGCAAAAUGGUGCCGUAACUUCGGGAGAAGGCACGCUGAUAUGUAGGUGAAGUCCCUCGCGGAUGGAGCUGAAAUCAGUCGAAGAUACCAGCUGGCUGCAACUGUUUAUUAAAAACACAGCACUGUGCAAACACGAAAGUGGACGUAUACGGUGUGACGCCUGCCCGGUGCCGGAAGGUUAAUUGAUGGGGUUAGCCGCAAGGCGAAGCUCUUGAUCGAAGCCCCGGUAAACGGCGGCCGUAACUAUAACGGUCCUAAGGUAGCGAAAUUCCUUGUCGGGUAAGUUCCGACCUGCACGAAUGGCGUAAUGAUGGCCAGGCUGUCUCCACCCGAGACUCAGUGAAAUUGAACUCGCUGUGAAGAUGCAGUGUACCCGCGGCAAGACGGAAAGACCCCGUGAACCUUUACUAUAGCUUGACACUGAACAUUGAGCCUUGAUGUGUAGGAUAGGUGGGAGGCUUUGAAGUGUGGACGCCAGUCUGCAUGGAGCCGACCUUGAAAUACCACCCUUUAAUGUUUGAUGUUCUAACGUUGACCCGUGAUCCGGGUUGCGGACAGUGUCUGGUGGGUAGUUUGACUGGGGCGGUCUCCUCCUAAAGAGUAACGGAGGAGCACGAAGGUUGGCUAAUCCUGGUCGGACAUCAGGAGGUUAGUGCAAUGGCAUAAGCCAGCUUGACUGCGAGCGUGACGGCGCGAGCAGGUGCGAAAGCAGGUCAUAGUGAUCCGGUGGUUCUGAAUGGAAGGGCCAUCGCUCAACGGAUAAAAGGUACUCCGGGGAUAACAGGCUGAUACCGCCCAAGAGUUCAUAUCGACGGCGGUGUUUGGCACCUCGAUGUCGGCUCAUCACAUCCUGGGGCUGAAGUAGGUCCCAAGGGUAUGGCUGUUCGCCAUUUAAAGUGGUACGCGAGCUGGGUUUAGAACGUCGUGAGACAGUUCGGUCCCUAUCUGCCGUGGGCGCUGGAGAACUGAGGGGGGCUGCUCCUAGUACGAGAGGACCGGAGUGGACGCAUCACUGGUGUUCGGGUUGUCAUGCCAAUGGCACUGCCCGGUAGCUAAAUGCGGAAGAGAUAAGUGCUGAAAGCAUCUAAGCACGAAACUUGCCCCGAGAUGAGUUCUCCCUGACUCCUUGA